GUGUCCUCUACUCUAGGUGUUCUCUAGGUAUCCUUUAGCUGUCCUCUAGGUAUGCUCUAGCUGUCCUCUAGGUAUCCUCUAGGUAUCCUCUAGGUAUCCUCUAGCUGUCCUCUAGGUAUCCUCUAGGUAUCCUCUAGGUGUCCUCUACUCUAGGUGUUCUCUAGGUAUCCUUUAGGUGUUCUCUAGGUAUCCUCUAGCUGUCCUCUAGGUAUCCUUUAGCUGUCCUCUAGGUAUCCUCUAGCUGUCCUCUAGGUAUCCUCUAGGUGUCCUCUAGGUAUCCUCUAGCUGUCCUCUAGGUAUCCUUUAGCUGUCCUCUAGGUAUCCUCUAGCUGUCCUCUAGGUAUCCUCUAGCUGUCCUCUAGGUAUCCUCUAGCUGUCCUCUAGGUAUCCUCUAGCUGUCCUCUAGGUAUCCUCUAGCUGUGCUCUAGGUAUCCUCUAGCUGUGCUCUAGGUGUCCUCUAGCUAUCCUCUAGGUACUUUCCCCAGUCCAGCUCUCUUUCAUCAGUGCAGAUUAAGGAAAGGAGUUGAAUCAGAAGAAGAGACAAAACGGGUGUGUCUCAAAUGUAACCCUUUUCACUUCAUAGUGCCCUACUUUUGACCCCGAACUUUAACCUUGUUCAAAAGUUGUGCACUAUGAAUAAGGUCCCAUUUGGAACGCAGACAAUACUGUAUGUCUAGGCUAUUGACACGCACCUAGAGGGGGAUUGACAUAUAGAUAAUUGAAGAGGUUCAUCCACAGGAGGAUAAAACAGAGUGGUACAGGAGGAUAAAACAGAGCGGUACAGGAGGAUAAAACAGAGCGGUACAGGAGGAUAAAACAGAGCGGUACAGGAGGAUAAAACAGAGCGGUACAGGGGGAUAAAACAGAGCGGUACAGGAGGAUAAAACAGAGCGGUACAGGAGGAUAAAACAGAGCGGUACAGGAGGAUAAAACAGAGCGGUACAGGAGG
rnacentral:lncRNA from 1 species